rnacentral:rRNA from 1 species
CCUACGGGAGGCAGCAGUGAGGAAUAUUGGUCAAUGGGCUUACGCCUGAACCAGCCAAGUCGCGUGAGGGAAGACUGCCCUAUGGGUUGUAAACCUCUUUUGUCAGGGAGCAACGCCGGCUACGUGUAGCCGGACUGAGAGUACCUGAAGAAAAAGCAUCGGCUAACUCCGUGCCAGCAGCCGCGGUAAUACGGAGGAUGCGAGCGUUAUCCGGAUUUAUUGGGUUUAAAGGGUACGUAGGCGGAAUGCCAAGUCAGCGGUAAAAUCGCGGGGCUCAACCUCGCUCCGCCGUUGAAACUGGCGGUCUUGAGUGGGCGAGAAGUAUGCGGAAUGCGGGGUGUAGCGGUGAAAUGCAUAGAUAUCACGCAGAACUCCGAUUGCGAAGGCAGCAUACCGGCGCCCAACUGACGCUGAAGCACGAAAGCGUGGGUAUCGAACAGGAUUAGAUACCCGAGUAGUC